AGAGUAUCGUAAGCACGGGAAGUCUACAUCUGGGAUCAGAAUUCAAACAAUGUUGUGAAACCACGGCAGUUGUUUCACUUGGAGGAAGAAAAGAAAACCAACAAGAAAAAGACUAAACUUGGAGAACUUCAUUUGUGACUUGAAAUGUGGGAUUCAACAGCGGAAUAUGCCGUGCCAGACAACCAGAUACCUUAACAAUGCUAACUUACAUUGCAGUUUGGAGGAACUGCAAGGAGAAACCCCACCCUUUUACAUGAGCUUUCACUUUUAAACAUUUUACUGCUGCCUUUUGGAUUCAUUACACAAACUGAAGCAACUUUUUUGGGCACCAUCUUUCAUUGAAGAAAAUCUCCACAGACAUAAUAAAAAUCACUAUAUAUUUUUCCACAAAAGGCUUCAAUCUAAGGGAAGAAAGAAAAGGUUAUUAUUUCUCUUCUUGCCAUGGAAGAAGAUAUCCUCACUGUUUCUGCACAGGUUAACAAGCAGAAAGUAAAAAAUGUAUCAACAGCUCCAAGAUGAUAAUAAUGCAAUGCAUAGCCAAAACCUUCCCUCUAUUGCUCAUAACUGCUCCUAAGAAAAUACUGUAAGAACUCUGAGCUGCAUCUGUUGGUUUACCUUUAGAGUUUAGUAGUGUGAACAUUAGGUUUUUGUUUGCUAGCAUGAACUAGCUAUGACACAGCAAGCUGGGCAGCUUAUCGGAAUGUUUUUUCCUUUUUAAGGUUGUAAUAGCAUUUUGGGAUCUCCCAGCACUUUUUACCGUAAGUUGGAAAGGAAUAUUAAAUCCAGGAUGGUCUCAGAAUAGUAUUAACAGAUCCUCUUUGGUAUGAACUACUGCUUGACAUCAAGAUGCUCACAGUGUGUUAAUAUGAUCAGUAUGUAUGAUGUGCUUCAGCCUAAUAUCACAUAUGCUUGAAUCUACUUUUAACCCUGACACCAGAGACAACCAUUUCAUAUGCAAGUAUACAUUUAACAUACAAUUAAUAUUCAUUUAAGAGGCCAGUGAGUGUAUUUUAUUUUCAUCAGUUUAUAUUUUGUGUUAUUUUAGCCACAGAAAGUUGAGGGUUCUGCAUUUACUGAUUUUAAAACAAAAAUCAUACUACUCUACCCUUGGCCUUCUUUCACCUUUCCCCUCUAAUUACCCGCACUCAAAAGCCUCUUAUGAGAAAAGCAGAAUCCUCAAGACACAUUUUACCAUCCAUAAUAGUAGCUACUCAGAUUUGGGUCACUCAGAUUCAGUACACAGAAAAAUGCACAAUUUAAAAUCUCCUAUACUGAAAAACAGUAAAGUAUACACACAUAAAAAUGAAGUCCAUGCUGGGUGAACAAAAUAACAUGGUCUACCUGCAAUGGUUUGGGGUUCUGAUCCACAGGAAUGAUGAGAAUCACAAUUUCGGACUCUAUGCUUAAGUAUCCAAACACAUCACACUGUGGCACUGAGACAUGCAGGCGGAUUUUUUCAAGUAUGUCAAGUACUGUUAUAGGCUUUUUAUUUGUUACCUGGAACGAAACAAAUUACUUCAUGCAUGAUGUGAUAGUAUGAAAGAUUAUAUUUCUCCUUUUCAGUUUUAAUAACUUGAUGUCAUGCCAGAAAAUUUGUUUUAGCCAUUAAAUGACUCAGUUCUAAUCUCUAGCAAAAAACCUAAAUAAUACAAUGAUUCUAAAAAAAACCCCCACACCUAAACCCAAACCCAAACCAAACCCCUCCAAAACCAUAAAAAAGUGAAAGGAAGAAGAGAAAAAUUUGUUUACUUCUUAAAUUAAGCAUGGCUUUGGUAUGUGUUAUUCUCCACCUUCGCAGUGUGUAUAUAUAUCACAUACCUCAAAACAAUAUAAAUGGUGUCUGUUACAGCAGCUUGUACUCCCAUAUUGGGAAACAAGAGGCAGAGCAGCCCUACCAGCUGGCACUUCUUUACCAUCACAGAACCCAUUCCAAGAGCCACCAGAAACGAAGAGGUAUAGCUUUGUAAAGUCAUAUGUAUGUCUAUAUGUAUGGGAACAUGUGACAUUUCAAGAUCACUACAUAAGUACUGAGUAAACACUUUUUUUUUUCUUGUAAUUCUCAUCUCUCUUCUGCUGUCUGUAUCUAGCAGUUUGAUGGUAGAUGCUCAGACUGUUCAAGGAAUGCCACACCUUAAAGGUUCUUCACUUUUUUUCCAGGUCACUUCUGGAUGUGUUGAACAGUAUAUACAUCAACACAAAUACUUGUGACUUCUGGUCAUUCUGUUGUGUUCUCUUUUCUAGCUUCAGCUG